rnacentral:rRNA from 1 species
UGGCAUUGGAGAAAGCUAACCCAAGUUGCUUGGAAUAGUACGUCAUAGAGGGUGACAACCCCGUCUGGCUAACCGUUCUCCAUGUAUUGCCUUAUCAAAGAGUCGAGUUGUUUGGGAAUGCAGCUCAAAGUGGGUGGUAAACUCCAUCUAAAGCUAAAUACUGGUGAGAGACCGAUAGCGAACAAGUACUGUGAAGGAAAGGUGAAAAGAACUUUGAAAAGAGAGUGAAAUAGUAUGUGAAAUUGUUGAUAGGGAAGGAAAUGAGUGGAGAGUGGCCGAGGUUUCAGCCGCCCCUCGUGGGCGGUGUACUGCCGACGCCGAGUCAUCGAUAGCGAGACGAGGGUUACAAAUGGGAGCGCCUUUC